rnacentral:rRNA from 1 species
GAUGAACGCUGGCGGCGUGCCUAAUACAUGCAAGUCGAGCGAACAGAUAAGGAGCUUGCUCCUUUGACGUUAGCGGCGGACGGGUGAGUAACACGUGGAUAACCUACCUAUAAGACUGGGAUAACUUCGGGAAACCGGAGCUAAUACCGGAUAACAUAUUGAACCGCAUGGUUCAAUAGUGAAAGGCGGCUUUGCUGUCACUUAUAGAUGGAUCCGCGCCGUAUUAGCUAGUUGGUAAGGUAACGGCUUACCAAGGCAACGAUACGUAGCCGACCUGAGAGGGUGAUAGGCCACACUGGAACUGAGACACGGUCCAGACUCCUACGGGAGGCAGCAGUAGGGAAUCUUCCGCAAAGGGCGAAAGCCUGACGGAGCAACGCCGCGUGAGUGAUGAAGGUCUUCGGAUCGUAAAACUCUGUUAUCAGGGAAGAACAAAUGUGUAAGUAACUGUGCACAUCUUGACGGUACCUGAUCAGAAAGCCACGGCUAACUACGUG